rnacentral:rRNA from 1 species
AGUGAACGCUGGCGGUAGGCCUAACACAUGCAAGUCGAACGGCAGCACAGUAAGAGCUUGCUCUUACGGGUGGCGAGUGGCGGACGGGUGAGGAAUACAUCGGAAUCUACUUUUUCGUGGGGGAUAACGUAGGGAAACUUACGCUAAUACCGCAUACGACCUACGGGUGAAAGCAGGGGAUCUUCGGACCUUGCGCGAUUGAAUGAGCCGAUGUCGGAUUAGCUAGUUGGCGGGGGAAAGGCCCACCAAGGCGACGAUCCGUAGCUGGUCUGAGAGGAUGAUCAGCCACACUGGAACUUAGACACGGUCCAGACUCCUACGGGAGGCAGCAGUGGGGAAUAUUGGCCAAUGGGCGCAAGCCUGAUCCAGCCAUACCGCGUGGGUGAAGAAGGCCUUCGGGUUGUAAAGCCCUUUUGUUGGGAAAGAAAAGCAGCAGGUUAAUACCCCGCUGUUCUGACGGUACCCAAAGAAUAAGCACCGGCUAACUUCGUG